rnacentral:rRNA from 1 species
UAACAAUGAUUUCCCUAGUAACGGCGAGUGAAGAGGAAAGAGCUCAAAGUUGGAACCUGUUUGGCCUAGCUAAACCGGAUUGUAGACUGUAGAAGUGUUUUCCAGGCAAGCCGAGUAAAUAAGUCCUUUGGAACAGGGCAUCAUAGAGGGUGAGAAUCCCGUCUUUGGCUUGAGCAUUUGCCUUUUGUGAUACGCUUUCAAAGAGUCAGGUUGUUUGGGAAUGCAGCCUAAAUUGGGUGGUAAAUCUCACCUAAAGCUAAAUAUUGGCGAGAAACCGAUAGCGAACAAGUACCGUGAGGGAAAGAUGAAAAGAACUUUGAAAAGAGAGUUAAACAGUAUGUGAAAUUGUUAAAAGGGAACCGUUUGGAGCCAGACUGGCUUGUCUGUAAUCAAUCUAGGCUUCGGCCUGGAUGCACUUGCAGGCUAUGCCUGCCAACGACAAUUUGACUUGAGGGAAAAAACUAAGGGAAAUGUGGCCCACUUGUGGGUGUUAUAGUCCCUUAGAAAAUACCUUGGGUUGGAUUGAGGAACGCAGCGAAUGCUUUUUGGCGAGUUUUCCAGGAAGGUUUUCUGAGGUACUACGGUAUCAAGGUUGAUCUUUUUGGUUAUACUUCUAUUCGCUUAGGUUGUUGGCUUAAUGACUCUAAAUGA